AACGAACGCUGGCGGCAGGCCUAACACAUGCAAGUCGAGCGAGCAUUUCGGUGCUAGCGGCGGACGGGUGAGUAACGCGUGGGAACGUGCCCUUUUCUGCGGAAUAGUCCUGGGAAACUGGGGGUAAUACCGCAUACGCCCUUUUGGGGAAAGAUUUAUCGGAGAAGGAUCGGCCCGCGUUGGAUUAGGUAGUUGGUGGGGGAAUGGCCCACCAAGCCGACGAUCCAUAGCUGGUUUGAGAGGAUGAUCAGCCACACUGGGACUGAGACACGGCCCAGACUCCUACGGGAGGCAGCAGUGGGGAAUCUUAGACAAUGGGGGCAACCCUGAUCUAGCCGUGCCGCGUGAGUGAGGAAGGCCUUAGGGUUGUAAAGCUCUUUCAGCUGGGAAGAUAAUGACGGUACCAGCAGAAGAAGCCCCGGCUAACUCCGUG
rnacentral:rRNA from 1 species